rnacentral:lncRNA from 1 species
GCACCACCACGCUCAGCCUGUUUUCUUUUUUAAGAGUUAAUCUUUUUAAUUAUGUGUAUGUAUGUCUUUGCAUGGAUAUGCCCACGAGAGUGCAUGUGCCCUGGAAGACCAGAAGGGGGUGACAAACCCCUGCAGUUUUGAGCCUCCUGGCCUGGGUGCUGGGAAUCAAACUUAAUUUCUCUAGAAGAGCAGAGUCCUCUUAACACCCAAGCCCUCUUGCCAGCCCUUAUUUUGUUUGGUUGGUUGGUUUUUGCCAAAGCUAGGAGUUCCAGCCCCAGUCUUUUAUACUCUGCCCUCAUGGCUUCUGACAUCUCCAACUCUGCCAGGGGCUGACUCUUAUCUUCAGAAAGCAAUUGUUACUUUGACCCCCAGCAGUGCUGAGCCACCACCCAGGGCCUGAGGCUAGAAGAAAAUGUACCCUCCUUCCAUGGUCAUCUUCAGAAAGCACUGUGAACCCAGGUAAAGGUAGCAGGUCCAGGUUCAGAUGUAGUGUCCACAGCCUGUGCAAAAAGGACCCUUCACUUCCAAGCUUGCCCCACCUGAUCAGACCACUCUCCAGAUCUGGGGGAAACGGUAGCAGGCUCUUCACCCCAACAGGAGUCCCCAGGGCACACAAGAUAUUGCCUUUGAUUUUGUCCUUAUGACAACCCUGCGAAUAAAAUCGUCAUCAUGCCCACUCUACAGAUUAGAAUACUGAAGCUGAGAGCAAAAACCUACCUGAUGUCACACUGCUGCUCAAUGACUAAGCAACGAAAAUCAAAAGUGAAUAUUCCCGCAGGCUCCAGUCUUGCAGAUGACAAAUGCUCUGUCACCGUCACAUUUGGGUCCAUGUUCUGAAAUCCUCUGUUUUCACCUCCCUAGAACCCCAGAUAGUACCUAAAUAGCUGAGUCCAUUCACCUGGCCCUGGCUUUCUGCUAAGGAAUAUGUCAGACAUCUUCAGGAUUCUUCAAACUUGUUCUGAGUAGAAAUCUCUUCAGGCCUGGGAGCUGUUUCCUCUCAGCAGAAAGCCCCCAUGUGGCACAGGCCAACUCCCCCACAACCAGAACCAUCAUCAGUCACAACUGCACUUCCUCUCAUGCCGAAGAAACUUUUUUUUUCAGUCUUGGAUGGAUGCUGGAACCAUCGGAUCCUGUAACCCGCUUCUCCACCUCCAGUACAGACGUCAGGACUUGAGGCUCCCUCCGUCUGCUCUCUUCUGCACUGCACUUGAAUUUCCCUGAGUGGGUUUGGGUACCUGUCAUGUGGACAUGUAUAUGUUGGUAGAAGCCAGAAGUCAACCUUGUGUGUCAUUUCUCAGAGGUGAUCCAUCUUAUUUUUUGAGACAGGGUCUCUCACUGAGGCCGGGGACUUACUGUUUUUAGGUUACACCUGCUGGCCAGCAAGCCAGAGAGACCGAGAGAGACGGUCUGUCUCCAUCUCUCCAGCGACAGGCUUUCAGACCCACACCACCAUGCCCAGCUUUGAUGUGGGUCUGGGUUUUGAGGAGUAGAAUUCAGGACCUCUUGCUGAGCCAUCUCCCCAGCCACUGAACAUAAUUCAUAUAUAAUCUGGCUUUUGUUCCUUUUGUGGGUGCAGGGUGUGUUUUGUUUUGUUCUUUGCUGUGUAUUAUUCUGUGCAUUUAAGCUUUAUUUUUUUGUGACUACCUGGGAGGGACACUGAACAGCCAGAAAGGCCAGGCCGAGGCUUCACUGAUGGGGAUGUGAGCCCGGGAAUGCUGGCAGCUGCCGGGAGCUGGAAAGGGCAAAGGAAAGGACUGUCUCCGCAUCCACGGUGGACGCAGCCCUCUGCCCGAUUUCUAUUUCUGGCCACCAGCUCUGCCAGGUAGCGAGCUUGGCUGCUCUGAGCUGCCUGGGUUUGCCGUUGUAUUUUCCUACUAGCAUGGGAAAGCGUGAUCAGCUUGCUUUGUUCUCAAUUGUUCCAGAAGCUCUGCCGGUCCCCUCCAGGACUCCUGAGUCUCUGCUCCGUGGUACUCGGGGCUGGCUCUCAAAGUUCUAGGCUGCAGAAAUCUCACAAGCGCAUGAGCUUAGAGUCCCAGGGUGGAUGUCCACCAAGAGCCCAGGGACAAAGCAUUGACAGCUCCUGUGUGCGCCACGUCUCCCCCCACCCCCACCCCUACCCCCAGGAACUGUGAGAGGAGUGCAGAGCCCCUCCCCCAGGCCUUUCCAACAAGGACUCCUGGAGGACCCUUGGGUUUUUAACACCAAAUCACCAAAUGUUUCCCACGCAGCAACACAAACCAGCUCUUCCUCAUACAGCACGGUGGGCCAGUGGACCAUGGGGACAGGUUACCUCUGUGGGCCCAGGCUCACGGUAAACUCUAACCUCAAUCUGUAGCCUCCCACAGCCAUUUGCGGGUCACCUUGCUUCUCAGCCACCGUGUGGCACUUGGCAAGUCACGUGUGCCUCAACACAAUAAGAAGCCAAGGGAAUAGGGGCUUUGCUUAACUGGUACAGCAGUGUAGCCCAAGCUAGCCUUGAACUCACUAUGUAGCCAAGGACGAUCAUAAACUCUUGAUCCUCCCGCUUCAGAGUCCUGGGUGUUGAGAUAACAGGUGUGGGUCACUCCCUACCCUUCUUCUAAUAGCAAUCAAUGUGUGGCCACAUGUUUGUGCCUCACAGAUUAAAACCAUCUUGACCUGAGGACGAAAUGACUAACAGUUGCCUCCUGAAGGUUGCCUGGAUCUCAUCUUUAUAAUCCCAGCAAUCAAGGGGAGUGGGGGAUCAGGAGUUCAAAGUCAGCCCAGCCUGGGCUACAUGAGACCCUGUCUUGAAAAAUGGAGGAAUUAAGCUGGGCGUGGUGCCGCACUCCUUUAAUCCCAGCACUUGGGAGGUAGAGGCAGGCGGACUUCUGAGUUCGAGGCCAGCCUGGUCUACAAAGUGAGUUCCAGGACAGCCACAGCUAUACAGAGAAACCCUGUCUCGAAAAACCAAAAAGAAAGAAAGAGAGAAAGAAAGAAAGAAAGAAAGGAAGGAAGGAAGGAAGGAAGGAAGGAAGGAAGGAAGGAAGGAAAGGAAGGAAGGAAGGAAGGAAAGAAAGAAAGAAAGAAAGAAAGAAAGAAAGAAAGAAAGAAAGAAAGAAAGAAAGACAGACAGAAAGAAAGGUAAGGAAAGAAAGAAAGGAAAAGAAAGAAAGAAAGAAAGAAAGGUAAGGAAAGAAAGAAAGGAAAAGAAA